CCCUAGCCGGGAGGGGCCGCAAGGCAUAGCCCGGAUGCGCAUCAGUCGGCCAGUGGCGCAUUCAUGAAAAACCCCGACAGCC
rnacentral:ncRNA from 1 species